rnacentral:lncRNA from 1 species
UGAAAAUGUUACUAUAAAUUAAAUUAAAUGUAUUGAAUGUUGUUUCAUCAAAUAUUUUUUCCAACUGCAUUGGCUUCAAUUAAGGAAAUUAAUUUUAAACCGGUUGAAUUUACAUACAUGCGUCCUGCUUUUGACCGUGAUGCUGACAGGCGCAAAAAGCUCGCCGACGUGAUUCAUUGGAGGAGAAGAUCAUGUGACCAAACCGUUACGGUGGCCAGCGUGUAAAUAUAAAACUUUCAGAAUUUCAGAACCCUCCUUGGUACACUUGGACGUUGUCCCCGAGAGCAUUAACAUCCUUAGCACAGGUCUGCAAGGUACAGUUGUAUAAUAUGCUCUAAUGUCAUCAUCUGAUAUAAAUGUGUUGGCUCCACUGACACCAAGCAUGUCUACCUCUAUGUGGUUGGUUAGUUGGUGUGUAUGGGGACAUGGGUGGCCAGAGGACCCUCACAGCGGAAGUGGACAUCCUGCAUGAAGGCUCGGUGCCUUUGGAACUUUAGCCUGCCAGCUAACAUUCUAGACAUCUUCCUCCUCAAUGACCAGGACUGGAAGAAGAGCGUGUUUUAUGCGGAUUUUUACGCCUCAGACAGGGAUAUGCAUAGAUACUGUCAGCAAAGAGCAAAGGCACAUCUGAGAACAAGAUUCGUCAAUCCUAAUGUAUCCUUCGUCAAUCCUAAUCCUAAUGUAGUUAUCAUCAAUGGGACGGUGCUAUUUGGCAAUGACAUACAAUGUCCAGAGUUCAGUGACAGACUAAGUGAUACAGAAUUUUCAGGAGGGCGCACACAAUUGUAUAUAUAAAUAGUUCAAUCUCAUGGAAUAGUUUCCUUCUCAUUCCCGUUUCUGAGUGCAGCACCAAUGGACGUGACCUGUCCUAAGUGUUCAUCUUACUCACACCGGAGACAGGCGUUGACAGUUG